GUGCCAGCAGCCGCGGUAAUACGUAGGAUGGCAAGCGUUAUCCGGGAAUUAUUGGGCGUAAAGCGACGCCGUAGGCGGUCUUUUAAGUCUGAUGUGAAAGCCCACGGCUCAACCGUGGAGGGUCAUUGGAAACUGGAAAACUUGACUGCAGAACACGAAAGUGGAAUUCCAUGUGUAGCGGUCGAAACGCGCAGCAGAUAUGCGAGGAACAUCCAGAUGGCGAAGGCGACUUUCUGGUCUCGUAACUGACGCUGAUGUGCGAAA
rnacentral:rRNA from 1 species